GGCCGCAGYAUUCUAACUGUGCAAAGGUAGCAUAAUCAUUAGUCUUUUAAUUGAAGGCUUGUAUGAAUGGUUGGACGAGAUACUAGCUGUCUCUUUUAUGUUAAUAUAGAAUUUUAUUUUUUAGUUAAAAAGCUAAAAUUUUUUUGAAAGACGAGAAGACCCUAUAGAUCUUUAUAAUUAUUAAAUUUACUUUUAUAAAGAAUUUUUUAGAAGUGAUUUUGUAGAUUAUUUUGUUGGGGUGACAUUGAGAUUUAAAAAACUCUCAAAAAUUAUUUACAUUUAUUUAUGGAUAUUUGAUCCUUUACUAAAGAUUAUUAAAUUAAGUUACCUUAGGGAUAACAGCGUAAUUUUUCUGGAGAGUUCAUAUCGAUGNNNNNNNUUGCGACCUCGAUGUUGGAUUAA
rnacentral:rRNA from 1 species